CUGGCCUUCCCUGCCACCUCCAGGGAGACACCUGGAGGAGCAGAUCCCCAGGGAAUUCAGAACAGCUGCCACGGAACCUCCCCUGAAACUGCAAGCGCAUUCCCGGCAUGCCUGCUCAGCAACCUGAGGAGCUGGGCUUGUCUCUUCCUUUCCUAGCACUUCCAGGUAUCUUGGGGAAAAAAAGGAGCAUCUAUGAUGAGUCUGGCAACUCCCCACACUGCAUUCUCCUCUGCGUUUUUUACCAUGCACCAGUACAUCAAAGGCUCUGAAAAGUCCUGCAGCUAAGAAACACAUUUAACUGUGCCUGUCCAGCAUUCGACCUCAGAAUCUUCCUUUCUUAGACCUAGUAACACUGCUUAGGAAAUGCUGCUGGAGCACAAUCCUCUCAUUCCACAGCUGAGGUUCCGGGAGGCCCGGUGACUUGCUGGAGGACAACACACAGGCACCAGCUGAGAGACAGAAUUUUUGGAAGAACUUAGGGAAGAAACUAAGAAAAGACAACAGCACACAGCAACAAGCAGUCACCCGGGCCUCUCAUGUCACCGAGAACAUUAUGGUGGGCACCUGUGAGCUCUUCCUGACCGCCUGACUUCUGAGAUGUUUUCCCGACCACCCUGCUUCACCCAGGGCAGAUUUGCCAACUCCUUGAUGCCUCCUGUGUUGCAAUCACAAUCAGAUGAGGUCCCAGGGCCCCAGGGUGGGCAGCAGC